AUUAUAUAUGGAAAUCGUUUUUACGCACAGUUCAGACUUAUAACACAAUAUGAUGCAUAUUGUUAUGACUGUGAAAAGGAAAGGGCAAUGUUAUGACCGAGCCUGAACGUUGCACGAUUCGAACACAAUGAAAUACGCGACCCUUAGCAACGAGAUCAACGACGUCGCGGAUGUUGUUGUUUAGUCAGAGUCUGAUCGUGACAGCUGAUGAGUUGAGACGUGCGAUCUGAAUAAAGAGUUUGUGUUCCUUUUCGUAAAUACGUGUUCUUUCAUUAACAGUGCAACGCGAUCGUUCAAUAUGAGUUCAAAAUCAUCGUAAAUUAUUGUUGAAAGAAUCCCGCUCUUUCUUUGUGGUUGUUCACUUUGCCUUUGAAAAUGAGUAUAUAAACGUGUGCAAAUGCAA